rnacentral:tRNA from 1 species
CGGGGCGUGGCGCAGUUGGUAGCGCAUCUGGUUUGGGACCAGAGGGCCGCUGGUUCGAGUCCAGUCGCCCCGAC